rnacentral:rRNA from 1 species
GAUGAACGCUGGCGGCGUGCCUAAUACAUGCAAGUCGAGCGAACAGACGAGGAGCUUGCUCCUCUGACGUUAGCGGCGGACGGGUGAGUAACACGUGGAUAACCUACCUAUAAGACUGGGAUAACUUCGGGAAACCGGAGCUAAUACCGGAUAAUAUAUUGAACCGCAUGGUUCAAUAGUGAAAGACGGUUUUGCUGUCACUUAUAGAUGGAUCCGCGCCGCAUUAGCUAGUUGGUAAGGUAACGGCUUACCAAGGCAACGAUGCGUAGCCGACCUGAGAGGGUGAUCGGCCACACUGGAACUGAGACACGGUCCAGACUCCUACGGGAGGCAGCAGUAGGGAAUCUUCCGCAAUGGGCGAAAGCUUGACGGAGCAACGCCGCGUGAGUGAUGAAGGUCUUCGGAUCGUAAAACUCUGUUAUUGGGAAGAACAAAUGUGUAAGUAACUAUGCACGUCUUGACGGUACCUAAUCAGAAAGCCACGGCUAACUACGUG